CCUACGGGCGGCAGUGGGGAAUAUUGGACAAUGGGCGAAAGCCUGAUCCAGCCAUGCCGCGUGUGUGAAGAAGGCCUUCGGGUUGUAAAGCACUUUCAGUGGGGAAGAAAGCCUUGGGGCUAAUACCCUCGAGGAAGGACAUCACCCACAGAAGAAGCACCGGCUAACUCCGUGCCAGCAGCCGCGGUAAUACGGAGGGUGCGAGCGUUAAUCGGAAUUACUGGGCGUAAAGCGCGCGUAGGCGGUCUGAUAAGCCGGUUGUGAAAGCCCCGGGCUCAACCUGGGAACGGCAUCCGGAACUGUCAGGCUAGAGUGCAGGAGAGGAAGGUAGAAUUCCCGGUGUAGCGGUGAAAUGCGUAGAGAUCGGGAGGAAUACCAGUGGCGAAGGCAGCCUUCUGGACUGACACUGACGCUGAGGUGCGAAAGCGUGGGUAGCAAACAGGAUUAGAUACCCGGGUAGUC
rnacentral:rRNA from 1 species